rnacentral:lncRNA from 1 species
GAUCGCAAUGGUCCAGGGAAAUAGGAACAGUGGGUCCCUUGAUAUGAGAUGUGCUUUAAAAUGCUCCACUAAAGCAAAAGCAGAUGCACGGGACCUAUGAAAACUGCUGAGGGUGGGUGAAAUUAUACCUGUUUUCAGAGAGGAAGCAACUGAAUGAGGCACUGAGAGAUUUUUUUUUAAAUGUCUACGUAGUUCACACAACUUGGAAGGAGCAGCCCGGGAGGUCUGGCUGGCUUCAUUGAUACAAACUUUUUCAGGUUUUAAUCCAAAGUAACGUGAAAAUUUGGUAGAUCCAGACACCUGUCACCUGCAUUUUAAAAAGUCAGGAUUACUAACCAGUGCUGAUUCAGCUGCUGGAAGAUGCUUUUCUUCCCAGUGCGUGACACCAUUGGACUGUGUGUGGAGACUCUGAAAAGAAUUGUUUGCAUUGCGAUACAUGGGAAAAAUAACUUUUCUUAUUCAACAUUUUUAAAUAAUGCUCCUUUUGCUUUAUCAGACUCUGUGGAAAGACAAUUGAGGAUAUGGAAAAUGAAAUUGAGCUCGGUCAAGGGAAAUUGCCAUUGGUGUCACACUGCCCACACUCUAUAGCAUAUCUCAAUUCAGAACAUCUCAGGCAGGGCCCAAAUUCCUCAUUUCUAGCCUUGCCUCUCUCCUAAAAUGGGAACGGAGUGUGUGAGCCGAGCCCAGAUUGUAAUUUUACUCCCUUCCGGAAUCAAUGAACAUUUUACAUUCUCUUCCCAGUUUCCAAAAUUUGUCGAAAACUCCUCUGCUCCUGUCUCCACCCGCCUUCUGUCUGCCCUUGUGGAUUAAUACAUCCAUUUAAAUGCCGCCAUUGAGAGCUCUGAAAAAGAGAGAGAUAAUAUGUGUGGUUAAUCACCAUGAAUAAGCAGACUUCUUAAUCUUUCCAACCUUCAAAUUUUAGAUCUUAUUUA